CCCAAACCAACAAGCUUGCUUGUUGGGGUUGUAGGACACUCUAUACGGAGUUACAAAGGACGACAUUAGACGAAUCAUCUGGAAAGAUGAAUCAAAGAAGGUAAUAAUCCUGUAGUCGAAAAUGUUGUCUCUCUUGAGUGGAUCCUGAGUACGACGGAGCACGUGAAAUUCCGUCGGAAUCUGGGAGGACCAUCUCCUAAGGCUAAAUACUCUCUAGUGACCGAUAGUGAACCAGUACCGUGAGGGAAAGGUGAAAAGCACCCCGGAAGGGGAGUGAAAUAGAACCUGAAACCGUGUGCUUACAAGUAGUCAGAGCCCGUUAAUGGGUGAUGGCGUGCCUUUUGUAGAAUGAACCGGCGAGUUACGAUUUGAUGCAAGGUUAAGCAGUAAAUGUGGAGCCGUAGCGAAAGCGAGUCUGAAUAGGGCGUUUAGUAUUUGGUCGUAGACCCGAAACCAGGUGAUCUACCCUUGGUCAGGUUGAAGUUCAGGUAACACUGAAUGGAGGACCGAACCGACUUACGUUGAAAAGUGAGCGGAUGAACUGAGGGUAGCGGAGAAAUUCCAAUCGAACCUGGAGAUAGCUGGUUCUCUCCGAAAUAGCUUUAGGGCUAGCCUCAAGUGAUGAUUAUUGGAGGUAGAGCACUGUUUGGACGAGGGGCCCCUCUCGGGUUACCGAAUUCAGACAAACUCCGAAUGCCAAUUAAUUUAACUUGGGAGUCAGAACAUGGGUGAUAAGGUCCGUGUUCGAAAGGGAAACAGCCCAGACCACCAGCUAAGGUCCCAAAAUAUAUGUUAAGUGGAAAAGGAUGUGGCGUUGCCCAGACAACUAGGAUGUUGGCUUAGAAGCAGCCAUCAUUUAAAGAGUGCGUAAUAGCUCACUAGUCGAGUGACACUGCGCCGAAAAUGUACCGGGGCUAAACAUAUUACCGAAGCUGUGGAUUGUCCUUUGGACAAUGGUAGGAGAGCGUU
rnacentral:rRNA from 1 species